GACGAACGCUGGCGGCGUGCUUAACACAUGCAAGUCGAACGCUGAAGCCCUUCGGGGUGGAUGAGUGGCGAACGGGUGAGUAACACGUGGGCAAUCUGCCCUGCACUCUGGGAUAAGCCUUGGAAACGGGGUCUAAUACCGGAUAGGACACAUCGCCGCAUGGUGUGUGUGUGGAAAGUUCCGGCCGUGCGGGUUGAGCCCGCGGCCUAUCCGCUUGUUGGCGGGGUGAUGGCCUACCAAGGCGACGACGGGAAGCCGGCCUGAGAGGGUGACCGGCCACACUGGGCUUGGGUCAGGGCCCGGACUCAGACGGGAGGCAGCAUUGGGGAAUGUUGCGCAAUGGGCGAAGGCAUGCCACAGCAACGCCGCGGGGGGGAUGCCGGCCUUCGGGUUGAAAACCUCUUUCGACCGGGACGAAUGAUUCGUUUGACGGUACCGGUAGAAGAAGCACCGGCUAACUACGUGCCAGCAGCCGCCGUAAAAC
rnacentral:rRNA from 1 species